GCCCCUUCGGGGGUACACGAGCGGCGAACGGGUGAGUAACACGUGAGCAAUCUGCCCUUCACACGGGGAUAACCACCGGAAACGGUGGCUAAUACCCGAUACGACCACUUCAGGCAUCUGAUGGUGGUGGAAAGUUCCGGCGGUGGAGGAUGAGCUCGCGGCCUAUCAGCUUGUUGGUGGGGUAAUGGCCUACCAAGGCAACGACGGGUAGCCGGCCUGAGAGGGUGACCGGCCACACUGGGACUGAGACACGGCCCAGACUCCUACGGGAGGCAGCAGUGGGGAAUAUUGGACAAUGGGCGAAAGCCUGAUCCAGCAACGCCGCGUGAGGGAUGACGGCCUUCGGGUUGUAAACCUCUUUCAGCAGGGACGAAGCGCAAGUGACGGUACCUGCAGAAGAAGCACCGGCCAACUACGUGCCAGCAGCCGCGGUAAUACGUAGGGUGCGAGCGUUGUCCGGGAUUAUUGGGCGUAAAGGGCUCGUAGGCGGUUUGUCGCGUCGGGAGUGAAAACUCAGGGCUUAACCCUGAGCCUGCUUCCGAUACGGGCAGACUAGAGGUAUGCAGGGGAGAACGGAAUUCCUGGUGUAGCGGUGAAAUGCGCAGAUAUCAGGAGGAACACCGGUGGCGAAGGCGGUUCUCUGGGCAUUACCUGACGCUGAGGAGCGAAAGUGUGGGGAGCGAACAGG
rnacentral:rRNA from 1 species